rnacentral:rRNA from 1 species
AGGACGAACGCUGGCGGCGUGCCUAACACAUGCAAGUCGAGCGGAGACAGUGAAGCUGUAGCUUGCUAUGAGCUGUUUUAGCGGCGGACGGGUGAGUAACGCGUGAGCAACCUUUCCCAGACAGGGGAAUAACACACCGAAAGGUGUACUAAUACCGCAUAAGACCACGGGAUCACAUGGUUCUGAGGUAAAAGAUUUAUCGGUUUGGGGUGGGCUCGCGUCCGAUUAGGUAGUUGGUGAGGUAACGGCCCACCAAGCCGACGAUCGGUAGCCGACCUGAGAGGGUGAUCGGCCACAUUGGGACUGAGACACGGCCCAAACUCCUACGGGAGGCAGCAGUGGGGAAUAUUGGGCAAUGGGGGGAACCCUGACCCAGCAACGCCGCGUGGAGGAAGAAGGUUUUCGGAUCGUAAACUCCUGUCCUUGGAGACGAGUAGAAGACGGUAUCCAAGGAGGAAGCCCCGGCUAACUACGUGCCAGCAGCCGCGGUAAUACGUAGGGGGCAAGCGUUGUCCGGAAUAAUUGGGCGUAAAGGGCGCGUAGGCGGCUCGGUAAGUCUGGAGUGAAAGUCCUGCUUUUAAGGUGGGAAUUGCUUUGGAUACUGUCGGGCUUGAGUGCAGGAGAGGUUAGUGGAAUUCCCAGUGUAGCGGUGAAAUGCGUAGAGAUUGGGAGGAACACCAGUGGCGAAGGCGACUAACUGGACUGUAACUGACGCUGAGGCGCGAAAGUGUGGGGAGCAAACAGGAUUAGAUACCCUGGUAGUCCACACUGUAAACGAUGAAUGCUAGGUGUAGGGGGUAUCGACCCCUUCUGUGCCGCAGUCAACACAAUAAGCAUUCCGCCUGGGGAGUACGGCCGCAAGGUUGAAACUCAAAGGAAUUGAC